CAUUAUUUAUUGCAUAAUUCAGAAGAUAAGAGCCACUUAUUCAAACUGAUUCAUAAAAACAUAAUGAUUAACUGAAUACAUGAAGAAAAAUAUUUCUGUGAAUUGUCAAUUAAUUGAGGUUUCUGUGAAUCGUUACUGUUAUUGACACUGACAGGUCAAGAUAACUAGUUACACGUAUAGGUUGAGAACUUUGUUUUUGAGUGGAUUAUUGAUAUUUUCUACUAAAUAAGCACUUAAGUAGUCCCCGAAAUCUCGACAAAGAUGAUUACCGAUGUCCAUUUGAUCCUGUUCUCGAACGCCCUAGGAGUGGUACUCUUCCUUUUGGUCGUCCUUUACCAUUACAUUUCUGCCAACUACUCAAAAUGAUAACAAAAGAGUUUUUUUCAUUAAGAAGUUGAUUGAAAUGAAGUUACAAUGUAACUUGUUCAUUUGUUAUAUACAUAAGUGAAAAAUGUAAAUUAUAAUUUUUUAUUAUAUUCUCAAAUAACA